CGAGCCCUUCGUUCAGCUGGGGAAGGGUCCGGCAGCUUCCUCCAGAACAGCGAGACGAUUGUUACCAAUAGCCGCCUCACACAGUAAUAGCCGACAGCCAAGCCCCGUUGUGAGCACUCUUAUGUACAACUUUUAAGUCUUCGCUACGGUCCAGAGCUGGGGAUUCUUCUCCCCGUUUCGGAGUGGCUGAUGUUGGAGGAGGAGGCACAGGGAGGGGAGUAACUUGCCCAGAGCUACACAGCUGUCCGAGGUGGGGCCGUGGAUGGAGACGGGCUGUUCUGGAUCCAGCUUCUACUGCCUCUCAUGGUGGGCUCGUGGAUAGGGCCCAGGCCCAGCCCAAGACUGAAAGAGGAGAGUGGAGAUUUCCUAGUGCCUUGUUGACACACACUGGGUGCUCAGUAAAUCAUCGCUGAAGGAAGGGCUGGAGUGUCCUGCGAGCUUCUAAUAAGUAUUUAGCAACGGCAGCUGGAGGUGGACCGAUCUGUGACCCCUGCUCACCUGCGUUCCUGUGGCCCGUGAGAGGUGAGGCCGACUGUGAUGCUGAGUCUCGCUUCAUUUGUGGGAGAUGAGAGUCCCAGAGCCCCAGGAUGCUAGCGUGGGA